AAUCAACGCUGGCGGCGUGCCUAACACAUGCAAGUCGAACGAGAAAGUGGAGCAAUCCAUGAGUAAAGUGGCGCACGGGUGAGUAACACGUGACUAACCUACCCUUGAGUGGGGGAUAACCUAGGGAAACCUGGGCUAAUACCGCAUAAUACCUACGGGUCAAAGGAGCAAUUCGCUUUAGGAGGGGGUCGCGGCAGAUUAGUUAGUUGGCGGGGUAAUGGCCCACCAAGACGAUGAUCNGUAUCCGGCCUGAGAGGGCGCACGGACACACUGGAACUGAAACACGGUCCAGACUCCUACGGGAGGCAGCAGUGGGGAAUUUUGCGCAAUGGGGGAAACCCUGACGCAGCAACGCCGCGUGGAGGAUGAAGACCCUUGGGUCGUAAACUCCUUUCGAUCGGGACGAUAAUGACGGUA
rnacentral:rRNA from 1 species